UGAAAGUCAUUCACUUCCAAGUCUGCCAAUC
rnacentral:piRNA from 1 species